rnacentral:rRNA from 1 species
UAGGGAAUCUUCGGCAAUGGGGGGAACCCUGACCGAGCAACGCCGCGUGAGUGAAGAAGGUUUUCGGAUCGUAAAGCUCUGUUGUUAAGGAAGAACGAGUGUGAGAAUGGAAAGUUCAUGCUGUGACGGUACUUAACCAGAAAGGGACGGCUAACUACGUGCCAGCAGCCGCGGUAAUACGUAGGUCCCGAGCGUUGUCCGGAUUUAUUGGGCGUAAAGCGAGCGCAGGCGGUUAGAAAAGUCUGAAGUGAAAGGCAGUGGCUCAGCCAUUGUAGGCUUUGGAAACUGUUUAACUUGAGUGCAGAAGAGGAGAGUGGAAUUCCAUGUGUAGCGGUGAAAUGCGUAGAUAUAUGGAGGAACACCAGUGGCGAAAGCGGCUCUCUGGUCUGUAACUGACGCUGAGGCUCGAAAGCGUGGGGAGCGAACAGG